AUCCUGGCUCAGGAUGAACGCUGGCGGCGUGCCUAAUACAUGCAAGUCGAGCGAACAGACGAGGAGCUUGCUCCUCUGACGUUAGCGGCGGACGGGUGAGUAACACGUGGAUAACCUACCUAUAAGACUGGGAUAACUUCGGGAAACCGGAGCUAAUACCGGAUAAUAUAUUGAACCGCAUGGUUCAAUAGUGAAAGACGGUUUUGCUGUCACUUAUAGAUGGAUCCGCGCCGCAUUAGCUAGUUGGUAAGGUAACGGCUUACCAAGGCAACGAUGCGUAGCCGACCUGAGAGGGUGAUCGGCCACACUGGAACUGAGACACGGUCCAGACUCCUACGGGAGGCAGCAGUAGGGAAUCUUCCGCAAUGGGCGAAAGCCUGACGGAGCAACGCCGCGUGAGUGAUGAAGGUCUUCGGAUCGUAAAACUCUGUUAUUAGGGAAGAACAGAAGUGUGUAAGUAACUAUGCAC
rnacentral:rRNA from 1 species